rnacentral:lncRNA from 1 species
AAAAAAUUAAUAAAUAAAUAUUGCAUAAUAAAAAUUAUUUUGUUUUAAAACAUAUUAAUUGGACUUUGUCAUUUAUGUUGGGUCAAACUAGUUAUUUAAUUUGUGUGGGCUAAUAAAUAUUAAUAAGAGAUGGGUAAAUUAAUUUAGUACAAUUUGGGCCUUUAAAAUUAAUUGAGUUUAAUUUAAUUAAAUGUGGGUAGUAAUAAAUCCAAUUAUAAUUAGGAGAAUUAAUAAGAUUUAUUAAUAAAUAAAUAACUAAACCUAAUCUUAUUUUUUUCCUUAUACAACCUUAGAAAGAGAAAAUGAGAAAGCCGCCUCUAAUUAUAUUGUGAGGGAAGUUGUGUACGAAAUAAUCAGAAAAGGAUCAUCAGGUUGGUUUUUUUUGGUGUGUUUCUCCAUAUCAAGGAUUUAUAUGUUUCAAACUUCUUUUAAUUUCAUGAUUUAGAAUUGGAAAAAAAGCAUACACGACUGAUUUGAC